AGUAAUACCGCACUGAUACGGGUAAGGUCCGGUAUAGUAUACGGGUAUAGGAUCUCCAUACCCUACUCCGACUCAAUACGUCCACGGCGUACAGAACGGUAACACAUCUCUCCAAUAAUCUGAGCUUGGGUACACGGGGAAACCCAACCCCUUGCUGUUAAGUCUUUUGUCGGUCAAGUCUUGA
rnacentral:ribozyme from 1 species